UCGUCGCAAAGAUAAUAACAGAAGGAUUUGCACAAACCGGUUCUUUCAUUUUUGGUUUCAAACUGAAAACGAAAAAAAACCCAUGGUAUUUCUGUAUUUCCGUUUUUUUCGACUAAACUAUAAAACAAACGAUCAGUACGUACACGGACCACCUGACGUUAUCUAACUGUCCUUAUAGCGACAUAUGACAACGGAUUAGAGCGGUUGUAGGUGAAGUUAAAUCAAGUCAGUAGAACUUCAAAUGAGAGAAAAAGACUAGUUCUAACGUUGCCUUCCUCCUUAUAUCUCUCUCCCAUCAGCUCUCCCAUCAAUUGACCCCCCCCUAUCAGCCUGUCCUCCUCCGGGUCUCUCUCCUCCCACUCGGUCAGACGUUAACAGCCACACAGCCACCGAUCACUACUCGUCAGCCAUGUUGUUGGUGUGACACACUGAGCUGUCAGCAACAGGUUCUACUCUGAGCAACAAGGCUGCUAAACGUUAACAUUUCUACGAUAAUACUGCUCUCCUUGGACAAUAAACCUUCACGGUGUUCCGGGAAACCGUCCGGAAGUAGUGGAGGAUAACUUCGGGCCCCGCAGAAGCUCGGAAGUUGAUGUUUUUCGGCCGUUGUGAGAGAGAUGGCUGCGAGCCGUAGCUGAGGACACCGCCGGGAGUUCCCCCUCUCUGCCUCUGCAAAUAUGAAUGGUGGCCCAAGUGUAUGGGCGAUCUCCCAGAGGAGAGGGUCAAACAUGAUCAGAAGUUUUGACACCCUCUCCCCAUCAAUGGGCUAUGUAUCAGG